rnacentral:rRNA from 1 species
AGAGUUUGAUCCUGGCUCAGAACGUACGCUGGCGGCACGCCUAAUACAUGCAAGUCGAACGAAGUAGCAAUACUUAGUGGCAGACGGGUGAGUAACAUGUAGGUAUCUACCCUUUGGCCUGGAAUAACACGAGGAAACUUGUGCUAAUACCGGAUAAGUCUUUACGGAGAAAGCUUUAUGCACCAUUGGAUGAGCCUGCACUUGAUUAGUUUGUUGGUGGGGUAAUGGCCUACCAAGACAAUGAUCAAUAGCUGAUUUGAGAGGAUGAUCAGCCACAUUGGGACUGAGACACGGCCCAAACUCCUACGGGAGGCAGCAGUAGGGAAUCUUGCACAAUGGAGGAAACUCUGAUGCAGCGAUGCCGCGUGAGUGAAGAAGGCCUUUGGGUUGUAAAGCUCUUUCGUCGGGGAAGAAAAUGACUGUACCCGAAUAAGAAGGUCCGGCUAACUUCGUGCCAGCAGCCGCGGUAAUACGAAGGGACCUAGCGUAGUUCGGAAUUACUGGGCUUAAAGAGUUCGUAGGUGGUUAAAAAAGUUGGUGGUGAAAUCCCAGAGCUUAACUCUGGAACUGCCAUCAAAACUUUUUAGCUAGAGUAUGGUAGAGGAAAGCAGAAUUUCUAGUGUAGAGGUGAAAUUCGUAGAUAUUAGAAAGAAUACCGAUUGCGAAGGCAGCUUUCUGGAUCAUUACUGACACUGAGGAACGAAAGCAUGGGUAGCGAAGAGGAUUAGAUACCCUCGUAGUCCAUGCCGUAAACGAUGUGUGUUAGACGUUGGAAAUUUAUUUUCAGUGUCGCAGCGAAAGCGAUAAACACACCGCCUGGGGAGUACGACCGCAAGGUUAAAACUCAAAUGAAUUGACGGGGACCCGCACAAGUAGUGGAGCAUGUGGUUUAAUUCGAAGAUACGCGCAGAACCUUACCAACACUUGACAUGUUCGUCGCGACUCUAAGAGAUUAGAGUUUUCGGUUCGGCCGGACGAAACACAGGUGCUGCAUGGCUGUCGUCAGCUCGUGUCGUGAGAUGUUGGGUUAAGUCCCGCAACGAGCGCAACCCUCACUUUUAGUUGCCAUCAUUUAGUUGGGCACUCUGAAAGAACUGCCAGUGAUAAGCUGGAGGAAGGUGGGGAUGACGUCAAGUCCUCAUGGCCCUUAUGUGUUGGGCUACACACGUGCUACAAUGGUAUCUACAACAGGAAGCAAGAUGGCAACAUUAAGCAAAUCCUAAAAAGAUAUCUCAGUUCGGAUUGCACUCUGCAACUCGAGUGCAUGAAGCUGGAAUUACUAGUAAUCGUGGAUCAGCGUGCCACGGUGAAUACGUUCCCGGGUCUUGUACACACCGCCCGU